rnacentral:rRNA from 2 species
UGAGGAAUAUUGGUCAAUGGACGAGAGUCUGAACCAGCCAAGUAGCGUGAAGGAUGACUGCCCUAUGGGUUGUAAACUUCUUUUAUACGGGAAUAAAGUGAGGCACGUGUGCCUUUUUGUAUGUACCGUAUGAAUAAGGAUCGGCUAACUCCGUGCCAGCAGCCGCGGUAAUACGGAGGAUCCGAGCGUUAUCCGGAUUUAUUGGGUUUAAAGGGAGCGUAGGCGGACGCUUAAGUCAGUUGUGAAAGUUUGCGGCUCAACCGUAAAAUUGCAGUUGAUACUGGGUGUCUUGAGUACAGUAGAGGCAGGCGGAAUUCGUGGUGUAGCGGUGAAAUGCUUAGAUAUCACGAAGAACUCCGAUUGCGAAGGCAGCUUGCUGGACUGUAACUGACGCUGAUGCUCGAAAGUGUGGGUAUCAAACAGGAUUAGAUACCCUGGUAGUCCACACAGUAAACGAUGAAUACUCGCUGUUUGCGAUAUACAGUAAGCGGCCAAGCGAAAGCGUUAAGUAUUCCACCUGGGGAGUACGCCGGCAACGGUGAAACUCAAAGGAAUUGACGGGGGCCCGCACAAGCGGAGGAACAUGUGGUUUAAUUCGAUGAUACGCGAGGAACCUUACCCGGGCUUGAAUUGCAACUGAAUGAUGUGGAGACAUGUCAGCCGCAAGGCAGUUGUGAAGGUGCUGCAUGGUUGUCGUCAGCUCGUGCCGUGAGGUGUCGGCUUAAGUGCCAUAACGAGCGCAACCCUUAUCGAUAGUUACCAUCAGGUUAUGCUGGGGACUCUGUCGAGACUGCCGUCGUAAGAUGUGAGGAAGGUGGGGAUGACGUCAAAUCAGCACGGCCCUUACGUCCGGGGCUACACACGUGUUACAAUGGGGGGUACAGAAGGCAGCUACACGGCGACGUGAUGCUAAUCCCUAAAGCCUCUCUCAGUUCGGAUUGGAGUCCGCAACCCGACUCCAUGAAGCUGGAUUCGCUAGUAAUCGCGCAUCAGCCACGGCGCGGUGAAUACGUUCCC